rnacentral:lncRNA from 1 species
AUCAGAGAAACACAAUCAACUGAGAGAAAAUAUAUGUGUGAUGAAUGUGGGAAAACAUUCACUCAAAACUCAAGCCCCAUUAGACAUAAAAUAAUCUGUACUGGUAACACACCCUCUUCAUGUAAUGUAUGUAGCAAAACUUUUACUCAGAGCUCACAACUUACUGACCAUCAGAGAAUACAUAGCCAUAUAAAACCCUAUCAGUGUGAUGAGUGUGAAAAAGUCUUUUAUUACAGUUCAUAUCUUAUUCAGCAUUGAAGGACCCACACAGGAGAAACCUUUCCAAUGUAGUGAGUGUGGGAAAGUCUUUCAUCACAGCUCAGAUGUUAUUUGACACCAGAGAACUCACACGGAAAAGAAACCAUACCAGUGUAAUGAUUGUGGGAAAUCCUCUCUGAGUUCAUAUCUGAGACAACAUCAGAGUUCAUACUGAAGAGAAGCCAUAGCAGUGUAGUGAGUGAGGGAAAAGCUUUAGCUAGUGCUUGGGCCUCUUCUGUCACCAGAAAAUCCACAGUGGAAAGAAACUAUAUGAAUGUGACAAGCGUGGAAAGGCCUUCAGAUACAGUUCAGCUCUUGUUGGACACCAGCGAAUCCACGGUAGAGAGAAGCCCUAUGAGUGUGAUGUGUGUGGGAAAGCUUUCAGUAACAGCUCACAUCUUUUGAGACACCAAAGAACCCACACUGGAGAAAAGCCCUGCAAAUGUGAUGCAUAUGGAAAAGCUUUCAGGCAGAGCUCACACCUCAUUUUACAUGAGCAAAUCCACACUGGAAAGAAGCCCCGGUGAUGUCAAGCGUGAUGCAACAUUGUUCAUCUAUGCUCAUUCCUGUGGAACAUCAAAAAAGCACAACUAGUAAAAGAUGCCACCAAUACAGUGAUGCAGGGAACUCUGCAAUCACUAUUGCAAUUUCAGCAGUCAUUUAAAA